GUAUUCCCUUGAGGGACAGGGUGCAGUUUCUAAUUGGUGAUUUGUUUAUAAAAUUGGGGCUGUGACUGUGUGUUGCGAUUCGUAUAGCUGGCCAGUGUGUGAUGUACAGUACGAAGAGCCGUACAGAACAUUGAUUUCCAUUGUCUGGGACGGUCACCUGCUGUGUCAGCUCUUCUGUCUCCAUCCGGAGAGAAAUAAAGCAGUGACCAUGAUGGCUCUUAGGGUCCUUUUUGUGCUUCUAUUAGUUUUUCCGAUGACAAUUAGCGAACUGUAUUAUAAUAACGGACCCAAAGGUAAAGCUUGCCCCUUUGGAGCCGAGAUGUCCCGGUGCUCCAGCUGUUCAGCUUAUUGUCAGCCCCCCGGUAAGGUGUGUAUUUCGGUGUGUGAAUACGGCUGUAGAUGUAUGAAGAGCAGACAUCGUAUAAAAGGGAAUCGCUGUGUUCCAGAAAAAAAAUGCUAAAGAAAGAGAAGACCUCUGGCUGUGGAAUAUUCAGUGCCAAACGCCAUGUAACCUGUCCUUGUAAAGAGCAAAAAAAAAAAAAAAAUACAUCUAAAAUUCAACCAAUACUAAAUAUGCACAGAAAGUACAUGUGUUGUUUCAUUUCCUAAAUUCAUUAUAAAUAAAGAUUAUCAUGGAAUUUAGAAA